UUGACAAACUAACAUUUUUAGUAAAAAUUUCGCGUGCCACCUCCUUUCGAAUUAUAUUCUCCUAAUAAAAAGUCGGAAUUUUUGGCAAAAAUUUUUAGCCUCAGUCUUUCGGGAAAAAUUUCGCGUGCCACCUCUUAUGGAAUUAUAUUCUCCUAAUGAAAUGUCGGAAUUUUUGGCAAAAAUUUUUAGCCUCAGUCUUUCGGGAAAAAUUUCGCGUGCCACCUCCUUUCGAAUUAUAUUCUCCUAAUGAAAAGUCGGAAUUUUUGGCAAAAAUUUUUAGCCUCAGUCUUUCGGGAAAAAUUUCGCGUGCCACCUCCUGUGGAAUUAUAUUCUCCUAAUGAAAAGUCGGAAUUUUUGGCAAAAAUUUUUAGCCUCAGUCUUUCGGGAAAAAUUUCGCGUGCCACCUCUUAUGGAAUUAUAUUCUCCUAAUGAAAAGUCGAAAUUUUAGACAUAAUCGUCGCU